rnacentral:rRNA from 1 species
GACGAACGCUGGCGGCGUGCUUAACACAUGCAAGUCGAACGGAAAGGCCCUGCUUGCAGGGUGCACGAGUGGCGAACGGGUGAGUAACACGUGGGUGAUCUGCCCCUUACUUUGGGAUAAGCCUGGGAAACUGGGUCUAAUACUGGAUAGGACCAUGCUGUAGGUGGUGUGGUGGAAAGAUUAGUUUCGGUAAGGGAUGAGCUCGCGGCCUAUCAGCUUGUUGGUGGGGUAAUGGCCUACCAAGGCGUCGACGGGUAGCCGGCCUGAGAGGGUGGACGGCCACAUUGGGACUGAGAUACGGCCCAGACUCCUACGGGAGGCAGCAGUGGGGAAUAUUGCACAAUGGGCGCAAGCCUGAUGCAGCGACGCCGCGUGGGGGAUGACGGCCUUCGGGUUGUAAACUCCUUUCAGCCAUGACGAAGCCCUUGUGGUGACGGUAGUGGUAGAAGAAGCACCGGCUAACUACGUG